GUGGGCUCGCGUCCGAUUAGCUAGUUGUAGGGUAACGGCCUACCAAGGCGACGAUCGGUAGCCGAACUGAGAGGGUGGACGGCCACAUUGGGACUGAGACACGGCCCAAACUCCUACGGGAGGCAGCAGUGGGGAAUAUUGCACAAUGGGGGAAACCCUGAUGCAGCGACGCCGCGUGAGCGAAGAAGUAUUUCGGUAUGUAAAGCUCUAUCAGCAGGGAAGAAACUGACGGUACCUGACUAAGAAGCACCGGCUAAAUAC
rnacentral:rRNA from 1 species